rnacentral:rRNA from 1 species
GCGAGUGGCGCACGGGUGCGUAACGCGUUAUGCAACCUACCCAUAACAGGGGGAUAGCCCGGAGAAAUUCGGAUUAAUACCCCAUAACAUAAUUGAUGUGGCAUCACAUUAUUAUUAAAGCUACAAAGCGGUUAUGGAUGGGCAUGCGUGACAUUAGUUUGUUGGUGAGGUAACGGCUCACCAAGACUACGAUGUCUAGGGGUUCUGAGAGGAUGAUCCCCCACACUGGUACUGAGACACGGACCAGACUCCUACGGGAGGCAGCAGUAAGGAAUAUUGGGCAAUGGAGGCAACUCUGACCCAGCCAUGCCGCGUGAAGGAUGAAGGCCCUAUGGGUUGUAAACUUCUUUUGUAUGGGAAUAAACGCAGUUACGUGUAACUGUUUGAAUGUACCAUAAGAAUAAGCACCGGCUAACUCCGUGCCAGCAGCCGCGGUAAUACGGAGGGUGCAAGCGUUAUCCGGAUUUAUUGGGUUUAAAGGGAGCGUAGGCGGGAUUGUAAGUCAGUGGUGAAAGCCCGUAGCUCAACUACGGAACUGCCAUUGAUACUGCAGACCUAGAGUACACUUGAAGUGGGCGGAAUGUGUCAUGUAGCGGUGAAAUGCUUAGAUAUGACACAGAACACCAAUUGCGAAGGCAGCUCACUAAAUUGUAACUGACGCUGAGGCUCGAUAGCGUGGGGAUCAAACAGGAUUAGAUACCCUGGUAGUCCACGCCGUAAACGAUGAUUACUCGAUGUUGGCGAUACACUGUCAGCGUCUGA